CAGCAGCCACGGGAAUACGAAGGGGGCUAGCGUUGUUCGGAUUUACUGGGCGUAAAGCGCACGUAGGCGGAUUGGUAAGUUAGGGGUGAAAUCCUGGAGCUCAACUCCAGAACUGCCUUUAAUACUGCCAAUCUCGAGUCCGGAAGAGGUAAGUGGAACUCCUAGUGUAGAGGUGGAAUUCGUAGAUAUUUGGAAGAACACCAGUGGCGAAGGCGGCUUACUGGUCCGGUACUGACGCUGAGGUGCGAAAGCGUGGGUAGCAAACAGGAUUAGAUACCCGGGUAGUCCCUGUCUCUUAUAC
rnacentral:rRNA from 1 species